AAAGAUAGAUUAGAAAGAAAGAAAGAUAGAUUAAUUAGUUAGAAAGAAAGAAAUAUAGAUAGAUAGAUAGAUAGAUAGAUAGAUAGAUAGAUAGAUAGAUAGAUAGAUAGAUAGAUAGAUAGAUAGAUAGAUAGAUAGAUAGAUAGAUAAGUUCAUUAGUACAUAUAGAAUGGUAGUUUAAUUGAGUCUAGGGCUUCAGGGAGUUUAGAUUUGAGUUUUUAUGUUGUGCACUACUGGGCCACCGUAGUCUUGGCUCAAUUUGAACUGUUGCAAUGAAAGUCAAUGGGAUUUUUAUGAUUUUUAAUAUUAAUUUUUAAGAAAUCUGAAAGUCAAAUCAGUCUGAAAAGAUAUAGCACACUAAGUCAGAACAGUCUGAAGGUCUGACCCGAGUUUGGAGUUUGUAGAGUUAAAACUCUAGGAGGAGUAGCAGUCAGAAAAUUUUGGGUCAGAAGAAUAAGAAGAAGAAUAAUAACUAGAAAAAAAGUUUGAUGAGACAAACUUUAAGUUGGCUUGAGAAAGCCGGACCAGAGAG